rnacentral:rRNA from 1 species
GGUAGAGAGAAGCUUGCUUCUCUUGAGAGCGGCGGACGGGUGAGUAAUGCCUAGGAAUCUGCCUGGUAGUGGGGGAUAACGUUCGGAAACGGACGCUAAUACCGCAUACGUCCUACGGGAGAAAGCAGGGGACCUUCGGGCCUUGCGCUAUCAGAUGAGCCUAGGUCGGAUUAGCUAGUUGGUGAGGUAAUGGCUCACCAAGGCGACGAUCCGUAACUGGUCUGAGAGGAUGAUCAGUCACACUGGAACUGAGACACGGUCCAGACUCCUACGGGAGGCAGCAGUGGGGAAUAUUGGACAAUGGGCGAAAGCCUGAUCCAGCCAUGCCGCGUGUGUGAAGAAGGUCUUCGGAUUGUAAAGCACUUUAAGUUGGGAGGAAGGGCAGUUGCCUAAUACGUAACUGUUUUGACGUUACCGACAGAAUAAGCACCGGCUAACUCUGUGCCAGCAGCCGCGGUAAUACAGAGGGUGCAAGCGUUAAUCGGAAUUACUGGGCGUAAAGCGCGCGUAGGUGGUUUGUUAAGUUGGAUGUGAAAUCCCCGGGCUCAACCUGGGAACUGCAUUCAAAACUGACUGACUAGAGUAUGGUAGAGGGUGGUGGAAUUUCCUGUGUAGCGGUGAAAUGCGUAGAUAUAGGAAGGAACACCAGUGGCGAAGGCGACCACCUGGACUGAUACUGACACUGAGGUGCGAAAGCGUGGGGAGCAAACAGGAUUAGAUACCCUGGUAGUCCACGCCGUAAACGAUGUCAACUAGCCGUUGGAAGCCUUGAGCUUUUAGUGGCGCAGCUAACGCAUUAAGUUGACCGCCUGGGGAGUACGGCCGCAAGGUAAAACUCAAAUGAAUUGACGGGGGCCGCACAAGCGUGGAGCAUGUGGUUAAUUCGAAGCACGCGAAGAACUUACCAGGCUUGACUCCAUGAAUU